AUUGAAUGCUGGCGGCAGGCCUAACACAUGCAAGUCGAACGAGUGGCGGACGGGUGAGUAGUGUCUGGGAAACUGCCUGAUGGAGGGGGAUAACUACUGGAAACGGUAGCUAAUACCGCAUCCCAUCGGAUGUGCCCAGAUGGGAUUAGCUAGUAGGUGGGGUAACGGCUCACCUAGGCGACGAUCCCUAGAUGGUCUGAGAGGAUGACCAGCCACACUGGAACUGAGACACGGUCCAGACUCCUACGGGAGGCAGCAGUGGGUAAGAUUGCACAAUGGGCGAAAGCCUGAUGCAGCCAUGCCGCGUGUAUGAAGAAGGCCUUCGGGUUGUAAAGUACUGUCAGCGGGGAGGCGUUACCCGCAGAAGAAGCACCGGCUAACUCCGUGCCAGCAGCCGCGGUAAUUC
rnacentral:rRNA from 1 species